GACGAACGCUGGCGGCGUGCCUAAUACAUGCAAGUAGAACGCUGAAGGAGGAGCUUGCUUCUCUGGAUGAGUUGCGAACGGGUGAGUAACGCGUAGGUAACCUGCCUGGUAGCGGGGGAUAACUAUUGGAAACGAUAGCUAAUACCGCAUAAUAGCAGUUAUUGCAUGAUAACUGUUUAAAAGGUGCAAUUGCAUCACUACCAGAUGGACCUGCGUUGUAUUAGCUAGUUGGUGAGGUAACGGCUCACCAAGGCGACGAUACAUAGCCGACCUGAGAGGGUGAUCGGCCACACUGGGACUGAGACACGGCCCAGACUCCUACGGGAGGCAGCAGUAGGGAAUCUUCGGCAAUGGACGGAAGUCUGACCGAGCAACGCCGCGUGAGUGAAGAAGGUUUUCGGAUCGUAAAGCUCUGUUGUAAGAGAAGAACGAGUGUGAGAGU
rnacentral:rRNA from 1 species